UACGGAGGAUGCGAGCGUUAUCCGGAUUUAUUGGGUUUAAAGGGUGCGUAGGCGGCUUUUUAAGUCAGCGGUGAAAUUUUGCAGCUUAACUGUAACAGUGCCGUUGAUACUGGGGAGCUAGGAUUUGGUUGCUGUGGGUGGAAUGUGUGGUGUAGCGGUGAAAUGCUUAGAUAUCACACAGAAUAUCGAUUGCGAAGGCAGCUCACAAAGCCAAGAUUGACGCUGAGGCACGAAAGUGUGGGGAUCAAACAGGAUUA
rnacentral:rRNA from 1 species